rnacentral:misc_RNA from 1 species
GGUGGAGGCUUUACAUACUUCCCUAUCACCUUUUGGUGUCUCCUGUGUCUCAUUCUGUCUAAUUUAGCUUUACUCUUUUGCUUUCUGUUCUCUUUCUGGCGAAAUCGUAAAUUCUUCUCUCUCUCGAACACACCUUGCCAAAAGACCUCACCUGUCGAUGGCCACAACCACCGUCUCGUGGGGUGGUCCGCAUCUGCUUCCUCUC